CACGUAGGGCGCAAGCGUUGUCCGGAAUUAUUGGGCGUAAAGAGCUCGUAGGCGGUCUGUUGCGUCCGCUGUGAAAACCCGGGGCUCAACUCCGGGCUUGCGGGCGAUACGGGCAGGCUAGAGUUCGGUAGGGGAGACUGGAAUUCCUGGUGUAGCGGUGAAAUGCGCAGAUAUCAGGAGGAACGCCGGUGGCGAAAGCGACUCUCUGGGCCGUUCCUGACACUAAAGCGCGAGAGCUAGGGGAGCAAACAGG
rnacentral:rRNA from 1 species